AUGAUAUUUGCCCCUAGGUUUCCUGAUUCUGAGCCCCAGCCAUGGCCUGUCUAUUUGCAUCACACUGAGGAUAAGAUACAGGCUGGAGCCAUGAAGAUUGGAUCUAGAUCACAACCGUUCCCACCCCCCAAAAUUCUUGGAUUUGGGGGAGUGAUUGUAAGUCAGUGAAAUGCAAAAACUAAACAAAUAAGUAGUUCAGGAGAGCCCAACUUCAGAUCUUCAUAAACUGAUUCCAGGAUAGACCGCAAGCAUUGGAUGGACAGGAAGAAAAUUCUGAAUUUCGAGAGCUGCAGAGCAGGGUAAUGAAGAAAGUUCUUCACUGACCAAAGCAAAUCUAUUACUGACUUGACCAGGAAGUCUUAUGAUUAAGUAAGGAACACAUAUGUCAUUGGUGUUGAAUUUUUUUUAUACACAAAAUGCAUAUAGAGAACAU